rnacentral:rRNA from 1 species
AGUCGAACGGACAAUUGUUUAUAUCUUUGGUAUAAAUAAUUGUUAGUGGCAGACGGGUGAGUAAUGCGUAGGAAUCUACCUAGUAGUAUGGAAUAGCCAUUAGAAAUGAUGGGUAAUACUGUAUAAUCCCUGCGGGGGAAAGAUUUAUCGCUAUUAGAUGAGCCUACGUUAGAUUAGCUAGUUGGUAAGGUAAUGGCUUACCAAGGCUAUGAUCUAUAGCUGGUCUGAGAGGACGAUCAGCCACACUGGAACUGAGAUACGGUCCAGACUCCUACGGGAGGCAGCAGUGGGGAAUAUUGGACAAUGGGCGAAAGCCUGAUCCAGCUAUGCCGCGUGAGUGAAGAAGGCCUUCGGGUUGUAAAGCUCUUUCAAUAGGGAAGAUAAUGACGGUACCUAUAGAAGAAGUCCCGGCAAACUC